GGCGGAUCCCCGGGCCCCAAGCGCGGGCGCUGCGGGCUGUUUCGGGCGGCGGAGGCCGUCCGCAUCCUGCCGUGGUCUGUUUAUUGAACUGCACCCUACGUAGCACCGUAAGACCAACAUGGCUUAUUUUCCUCGCCCUUCUCCCGUCACUCCAACUAGGCAUUUCCAUAAACAGCCGUUCUGGCACGCCGCGAUGGAGGCAGCGCCCCCCAACCCGCCAUGCGGAGAUUUAAAUUACCACUGAGAAAAGAAAAGGCGGCCGCAAUGAGCAGGGCGACGAUCUGUUCGUCCCCAUAACGGAGCACGAGGCAAGACGUCAUCAGUUUAAAGCGCUGUGAGAAAAACCAAGGGCAGUAAAUGCUGGAGGAGAGAUGGAAAAGAGUUAGCAGCUGUGUGUGCAGAAAACAUCCCGACUGUCACUAAAGACUUGGAGAAACAGGAGUCUCAGAGACCUUAAUGAAAACUUGUUCCAGGCUGCUUCAUGCAACAGUUACUGGAUGCCAUCUCAGUUGUAUUUUAUUUGGUGAAAACACAUUUGGAAUGUCUGGAAGUUUCUUUGCAAAAGUUAGGAAUAGAUACUUUCAGGAAGCCUGUUAAAGUGGCUGUGCCAAAUCCGAUGAAAGACCAUUCCAGCUACACAAUCUUUCACCAUUAGCAAAUACCACAGUAAAACCUCUGUUUAUCUUUCCAAGUGUCCUAUCACUUGCAGUACGGGUUCUUCUAAGACAUAUCUGUAUUUAAGAGCAGCUUUGUAACACAUUUGUUGAGGUAGCAGGCAGGUUUCCUGUGUAGUGGGUACACCUGGGGCGUUCACAUUGCUUGAAUUUGCAUCCUUCCAAACUCAGCACUGAAAGCUGUUACUGCUGAUCUGAAUGGACACGGUGAAAAAAAAUCACACUUCUUUGCAGACACUGAGGAUUCCAGUGAUAAUACCAACAGCAGUGAUUUUUAGAAGGAAUGGUUAACACACCAUUCAAAGGAUUUAUCUCGUGAAAUUGGGCAAGCUGCAGCCUUGGGU